CUUCCAAUCUCGGUUAAAUUCUCAGAAGGCACUGGAAGUCAUGCUCCUUUUCUCUCUAAAAUCCCAGGAAAGAGUCUCCUGUAUUAGUUUCUCAACAUCAGUGGUUGAAAAACAUUCUGUAGCCUCAGACUACAAAACAGUUGGGCAGUGAUAUUUGCUACAUAACAGGCAGAAGAAAAUGGCAAGGAACAUUAUCAAGGCUUUCUGGAGAUUUUCUUUUUCUUUUUCUUUACAGCUGCACCUGCAACAUAUGGAAGUUCCCCCAGGCUAGGGGUCAAAUCAGAGCUGCAGCUGCAGGCCUACACCACAGCCAUGGCCACACCAGAUCCCAUCCUUAACCUACUGAGUGAGGGCAGGGAUCGAACCCAUAGCCUCACAGAGACAAUGUCCCGUCCUUAACUGGCUGAGCCACAAAGAGAACUCCCUGGAGAUUUUUAAAACAAAUUUCAGAAGGAGACUUUGAGAGCUACUAAUUAAAUUUGUUCAUUUGAAGACACACAAGUUGUCUCAUUCUAAUCAUGACUAUUUUCAAAUAAAAGCUUCAAUAAAUAAAUAAAUAAAUAAAUUUGUUCAUUUGUUCACACAUCUAUUCACACAUAUUUUGAGUGCUUAUUCACUGCCAUGCAUUGUGCUAAGGGCUGGGGAACAGCUUCUGUGAUUUAUUUGCCAGUAUAAAAACCUUUCUCAGCAUUGUCUGAUUGCACAUGUGUAAUUUAGCAUGCUCUAACUUCACCGAUACAACAAUACUGUGGUGUAAUAGAUCUUAUUUAAUAAAUGCUAUGCCAUUUUCCUUGGGAGUGCAAGUUUGCAUAUUUCCAGACACUGGGGAAACAGCUUUCUCUUUAACCUACUAAGAUUGUUGAGGCACUCUGAAACUGCCCCCAUUUUGUUCAUUGUAUGCAGACUAGAAUACAAACAACUGACCCAGGCCCAUUUGAAAUACCAGCUCAGUAACAAGGACUGAAGUCUAGACCAACUAUGGUCACAUAGCAACCAGCUCACGUAAGGACUCAAACAGCAAUGCUUCCUGGUAACACAGAGCUUAACGGCGCCACUAAACUCUGCCACACAGGCAGUAUACUGUCCAAAAUACAUGGGUCAACCAAAUAGUAUGAAACCAAAUUAGGAAGGCCAGUAUUCCCUUUGAAAGGCCAGCAGACAGCAUGGCGCCAGCAUGGCAUCAAGUUCCAGACCAACAUCAACUUGUAUAAAAUCAGUAGUAGCAUCUAACCUCUUCUGGUACAGGACUAAACUUGGACACAGACGCCACAUCUGACACUAGUUCCACCAGUGUCACCUUUCAGCACCCUGAAUGUUAAAUACCAAGACAGAUCCAAAGCCAUGUAAGUCCUGGGAUAUGACUGGUCUACCAAAAUUAAAGCCACGUUUAUUAUGGUGUACACCCACAGAUUGGACAGCCACAACACCAAAUCAUUCCAGCAUAACCUUUGAGGGGGUUCUUGCUGGGCGAGGGCAUGAAGAAACCUUCUGGAUGAUGGUUACAGAGGUGAAACAUACAUAUACACACGGACAUGCAAUUUCUAACCAGCACAACAUCAAUUUCACUUUAAUUGUGUCUUAGAAAGAGAACUAGAAAGUUCGGGUUGGGUUUCUAGGUAGAUUUACCAAGGGAGAGGGGUAGACAAAUCUUAAUCUCUUACUCUACUAAUUAUCAUUAGGCUACUAAAUUCCUCCCCAUCCCUCCUCCUCCUCACUGAAGCAGCUAAUGAGUGAAAGCAAAUACUACGUCAAACUAACAACAGUAUUAUCAGAUGAUGUGGACAAGAGUGUAAGAGCAUACCUCUGCUGUAUGAUUCUUUUUCCCCCUUGAGGAAGCUGUAAUAUAGUCAUACACUUGCUAUAACAGAGUUAGAACUCCUUUCCAAGUUUCCAGGUCUUCACCCAAAGGCCCUUCUACUAGAUAAUGGCAACAGAAAGAGAUUUUAAAACUAAGCCAGCUGAACUACUUUACUGAUGAGGCAUUCCCAGUAGAACCUGCAACCUAUAAGAUUUAAUUGUAGGUUACAAACUGGGAAAUUAAGGACUCUCAGCUCAGUGUAUCCGGGGGUAGGAGAAAGCACACUAAUUAGACAUAAUGCCUGGUUGAUUUCAGGUGCUCUAUUUAGGAAUCAUAGUCCUUAAUCAAAAAGGAGGGGGUCAAUUUUUUGGGGGGCUGCACCCAUGGCAUAUGGAAGUUCCAAAUGCCACCCAGGAUAGGGACUGAACCGGAGCUGCAGAUGUCGGCAACAGCUACAGCCACAGCAAUGUGGGAUCCAAGCCACUACAGCUCAUGGCAACACUGGAUCCUUAACCCACCGACUGGGGCCAGGGAUACUACUCUGGUUCAUACCACUGAGCCACAACAGGAACUCUAUCACAAGUUUUGAUAUGUAAUAUUUUCAUUAUCAUUCAAAUCUAAAUAUUUAAAAAUUUCUAUCAUGAUAUAUUUGAGCAAUGAACUAUUUAUAAAUGUUUUAAAAUUUCCAAAUAUAAGGGGAAUUUUGUGGGGGAUUACUUUCAGUUAUUGACUAUUAAUUUAAUUGUAUUGUUAUCAGAGAACGUGGUCAUUAUUAUAGUGAUUCUUGGAAAUUUGGUGAGACUUGUUUUGUGGCCUAGUAUGACAUCAAUUUUUAUAAUUCUUCCUUAUGAAGAUUACAUGUAUUCUAAUUGUUUGGAGCAAAGUCCUUAAGUGUGUGAAUCAAGAUAUUUAAUUGUGCUGCCAAAAUUUUAUAUCUUUACUCAUUAUUUGUUGUCUGCUUCACUGGGCAAUAACUUUGAGAAACAUGAGAAAUUUCUCUACAGUUUUAUCAAUUUUUGUUUUUUUGUAUUUUGAGGCUAUUUUAGAUGUUAUACCUUUUCCAAUGAAUUGAAAUGUCUAUCAAUAUGUAGUGUUCUCUCUAUCCUUAAUGAUGUUAUUUUUUUUCUUUCGUUUUUAAAUCGAAAUAUAGUUGAUUUACAAUGUGUGUUAGUUUCUGGUGUAUAGCAAAAUGAUAUGUAUUUUUUUAAUAUUCUUUUU
rnacentral:lncRNA from 1 species